AUGGAGUGAAAGAUGUCACCACUCCAGCUAAAAUGGAUUCUCUAGGGCCUUGUUUCACUGCAUAUGCACAUAUAAUUGGUGAACCUGGGUCACGUGUUUAACCCUCCCAGCUGCAAGGUACACUGGAAAAGUGAAUGACUGACAUUUCCCAGUCUGUAGAGGGUGUGCUCUCUGCCUCCCACCAAGACCCUGAAGGGGGAGAGGUCCCCUCCAAGUAAUUGAAGGCAGCUCUCUGAAAUCAACAGACAUUCUGCAGAAACAGAAACCAGCCAAAGCUAGCUUCAGUAAAAAGGACUCUUAGAGGCUACAGUGUGUUUCAUGGCACCAAGGGCAGGAGGCAAGCCGGACCUCUGGAAUGGCCUGGAACCAGGUGCUGAGAACUCUCUGGCCAAGGCUUUCAUUUCGGUAGAAAGCAAGCGAACAAGAUGCUUUCUGAUGGUGAGAACCACAAACUGAGGGACAUUCUACAACCAAACAAAAGUAAACAACAAAGACAACCCAACUGGCCUGUAGUCUUCAAAAAUGUCAAGGUCACAAAAGACAAAGAAGGACUGAGGAAGCGGUUGCACAUUAAAAAACUGUGGCAAUUGAG